CAUGCCCGGACGGAAGUGACUACAUAGCUCGAACCAAGCAAGAGUUAACCCGGGCUGAAAUUUUUGCCUUGCGCGGGAUUUUAUUGGGAUUUAUCGUUAAAUCCGAGCUGAAUUUUCAACCCGAGUAGCCGGACUGAAACUCAGCCCGGGCUGAAAUCGCUCCAUAUAAUCAGCCCCUAGAAAGAAAUCAUAGCGACAAAUAGUGAAGCCGAUCAACGUGGUGAUUCCCAAAUAAUCUAAGCUUUGCACUAUUAAUUAAUAUUCUAUAAUCGAUAAAUUAAUCUGACUAGUGUAUUCUAGAGGAAAUAAAACAAAACAUUUGCACGUUAAUUGUUUAAAAAAGUCCAGAUUUGGUCUAUUCGGUCAUGGAGUUUUGACGUAAAUACUCGAAUAAAUGCAACAUCUGUUCUUGUGAUAUUUGUAAAACGGCACUGACCGUGUAAUCAUGCAUCAUUAUAAUAAUGCUGAUCAUUUUUGCGUUUUCAGGAACAAUGCCAAUAGGUCGGAUUUUUAUUAAUUUUAGUGCAUAUAUUAUAUGUCACUGAUCUAAAGACUAGGACUGUAUGGCGGCCAUAUUGGUUCGUCCAACCACCACAAAUCUACUGUGGUAUUUUUGUCUUACUUGCAUGCUAAACGAGAAUCUUAUACCGUUUAUUUCUUGUCACUGAUGGGAAAGAAGACGUAUGGUUAUCAGUGGC